rnacentral:rRNA from 1 species
ACAAGCGGUGGAGCAUGUGGUUAAUUCGAUGAUACGCGAGAACCUUACCGGGUUUGACAUGCAGGUGAUCGCCGUUGAAAGACGGUUUCCCCUUCGGAGGCACCUGCACAGGUGCUGCAUGGCUGUCGUCAGCUCGUGUCGUGAGAUGUUGGGUUAAGUCCCGCAACGAGCGCAACCCUUAUCCCUAGUUGCCAUCAGGUAAAGCUGGGAACUCUGGGGAGACUGCCGGUGAUAAACCGGAGGAAGCGGGGAUGACGUCAAGUCCUCAUGGCCCUUAUGACCUGGGCUACACACGUGCUACAAUGGUUGGUACAACGAGUUGCGAGUCGGUGACGGCGAGCUAAUCUCUUAAAGCCAAUCUCAGUUCGGAUUGUAGGCUGCAACUCGCCUACAUGAAGUCGGAAUCGCUAGUAAUCGCGGAUCAGCACGCCGCGGUGAAUACGUUCCCGGGCCUU